rnacentral:SRP_RNA from 10 species
ACUGAGUGCAGUGGUGCGUGCCUGUAGUCCCUGCUAUUCAGGAGGCUGAGGUGGAAGGAUCGCUCAAGUCUAGGAAUUCUGACCUGUAGUGCACUAUGCUGAUCUGGUGUCCACACUAAGUUUGGCAUUAAUGUGGUGACCUCCGGGAGCAGGGGACCACCAGGUUACCUAAGGAAGGGUGAGCCAGCCCAGGUCAGAAAUGAAGCAGGUCAGAACUCCCAUGCUGAUGAGUAGUGGGAUCAUACCUGUGAAUAGACACUGCACUCCAGCCUGGGCAACACAGUGAGACCUUGUCU